rnacentral:rRNA from 1 species
GGGCAGCAGUGAGGAAUAUUGGGCAAUGGACGCAAGUCUGACCCAGCAACGCCGCGUGGAGGAUGAAAGCCGUAAGGUUGUAAACUCCUUUUGAAGGGGACGAAAAAUCAAGUUUCGUAAGGGACUUGAACUGACGGUACCCUUAGAAGAAGCCCCGGCUAACUACGUGCCAGCAGCCGCGGUAAUACGUAGGGGGCAAGCGUUGUCCGGAUUUACUGGGUGUAAAGGGCGCGUAGGCGGGUUUGUAAGUCAGUGGUGAAAUCCUGCGGCUUAACCGUAGAACUGCCAUUGAUACUGCAAAUCUUGAGUUUGGAAGAGAGAAGCGGAAUUCCAGGUGUAGUGGUGAAAUACGUAGAUAUCUGGAAGAACACCAGUGGCGAAGGCGGCUUCUUGGUCCAUAACUGACGCUGAGGCGCGAAAGCGUGGGGAUCAAACAGGAUUAGAUACCCCUGUAGUC